rfam:Schistosoma mattheei strain Denwood, Zambia genome assembly, scaffold: SMTD_scaffold0000821
AUCCAGUUGACGAGUCCUAAAAAGGGCGAAAUGCGCAUCAAACUGGAU